AUUGAACGCUGGCGGCAGGCCUAACACAUGCAAGUCGAACGGUAACAGGAAGCAGCUUGCUGCUUUGCUGACGAGUGGCGGGCGGGUGAGUAAUGUCUGGGAAACUGCCCGAUGGAGGGGGAUAACUACUGGAAACGGUAGCUACUACCGCAUAACGUCGCAAGCCCAAAGAGGGGGACCUUAGGGCCUCUUGCCAUCGGCUGUGCCCAGAUGGGAUUCGCUAGUAGGUGGGGUAAGGGCUCACCUAGGCGACGAUCCCUAGCUGGUCUGAGAGGAUGACCAGCCACACUGGAACGUAGACACGGUCCAGACUCCUACGGUAGGCAGCAGUGGGGAAUAUUGCACAAUGGGCGCAAGCCUGAUGCAGCCAUGCCGCGUGUAUGAAGAAGGCCUUCGGGUUGUAAAGUACUUUCAGCGGGGAGGAAGGGAGUAAAGUUAAUACCUUUGCUGAUUGACGUUACCCGCAGAAGAAGCACCGGCUAACUCCGUG
rnacentral:rRNA from 1 species